rnacentral:rRNA from 1 species
UACGGAGGGUGCAAGCGUUAUCCGGAUUCACUGGGUUUAAAGGGAGCGUAGGUGGGCUGGUAAGUCAGUGGUGAAAUCUCCGGGCUUAACUCGGAAACUGCCGUUGAUACUAUCAGUCUUGAAUGUUGUGGAGGUAAGCGGAAUAUGUCAUGUAGCGGUGAAAUGCUUAGAUAUGACAUAGGACACCGAUAGCGAAGGCAGCUUGCUACACAAUAAUUGACACUGAGGCUCGAAAGCGUGGGGAUCAAACAGG